GACGAACGCUGGCGGCGUGCCUAAUACAUGCAAGUCGAACGCUGAAGGAGGAGCUUGCUUCUCCGGAUGAGUUGCGAACGGGUGAGUAACGCGUAGGUAACCUGCCUGGUAGCGGGGGAUAACUAUUGGAAACGAUAGCUAAUACCGCAUAAGAGUAGAUGUUGCAUGACAUUUGCUUAAAAGGUGCAAUUGCAUCACUACCAGAUGGACCUGCGUUGUAUUAGCUAGUUGGUGAGGUAACGGCUCACCAAGGCGACGAUACAUAGCCGACCUGAGAGGGUGAUCGGCCACACUGGGACUGAGACACGGCCCAGACUCCUACGGGAGGCAGCAGUAGGGAAUCUUCGGCAAUGGACGGAAGUCUGACCGAGCAACGCCGCGUGAGUGAAGAGGGUUUUCGGAUCGUAAAGCUCUGUUGUAAGAGAAGAACGAGUGUGAGAGUGGAAAGUUCACACUGUGACGGUAUCUUACCAGAAAGGGACGGCUAACUACGUG
rnacentral:rRNA from 1 species